GGUUAUGACUCAGUGGUAGAGUGCUUGCCUAGCAUGUGUGAGGCUCUGGGUUCAAUUCUCAACACCA
rnacentral:tRNA from 1 species